AGGUGAUUAGCUCAGAUGGCAGAGCAUCUCCCUUACAAGGAGAGGGUCGGCGGUUCAAAUCCGCCAUCACCUA
rnacentral:tRNA from 1 species